UUGGCGGUAAAAGGAUCUGAUCAUCUGCAUGGGAGGAGUUGAUUCCGGGAUCGAGUUAAAAUGUUGCUUCAAGUUGUAGUUUGAGCCCCCCACACGCACAGAAGUACCCCUUAGUGAUUUGGUAGUUCUUGGUUGGUGGGGCUUGUUUUCAAAUUACAGAAUCGAACGACUCCCCUUACAGUAUUGCAGAGCGCUUUGCCUUUCUAGUCUGCACAAAGUGGUAUAAUCCAGUAAUUCAUAAGCAUUCUUGAUUUCUUUUAAUGGAGGACCAAGUUCAUCAUGAAGAUGAGCAUCGGAUCAGUGGAAUAUGCAACCCUUAGGACAUCGGUGGACACUUAUGAAAGCUCCUGUUAUUGGUUUCCAGAUCUUGCUUUUCAUGCGCCUGGAGGUAUCAUAGGGAACAUCACCUGGUGCUGAACAUUUUCCAUGUCUGAUCCUUUGCUCCACCUUUUUUGAUUCAAGGAGCUGGGGUUUUGCUGUAUAUAGAUUGGUGGAGAAAAUUGUUUUCUUGCUAAACAAUGGAGCUGGUUCUGGUAGAUACUUCGCCGUCACAUCAAAUGCUCAAGAUUAUUUUGGAUUUUUUCACAAUGGAUCCAGGUUACUCGGGUGGUGGUCAAUCGAUGAAGGUAGUAGGAAGGAGCGGGCUAGAAUUUAUUGUGCUGGAGGUUCAGGGUAUGUUUUCUAUGCUACAACCUAGUGUCUUUUUAUUAGAAUUUUUUACAUUCAUUGGCGCAACCAGAGAGGCAUAAUAAUUUCUCUGAAGUUUCCAAGGACAUCUAUGUCCAGUAUUGCCUGCCCUUCCUUUUACCUUAUAGGUCUUGAGAUGAAUUCAUUGAAACCCCAUUUAACAUAUUCAGAGUGGCAUCAUAAACGGGACACACUUUGUAUCACAUGAACAAAGCUGGACAUGCACACACAUAUCUCGAGAUAAUGGAAGAUAUGGUCAUGAAAUAUGCUAAAAGAAUGAGGAGAAAUUGCAUUAGCAAUUGUUUUAUGAACAGCACAAUCACGAGGAGUACAGAAGAUAUCUGUUGCAUACAUUCUCUUGUUGCUAGCUAGUUAAAUGUCAAGAACACUUGCAGUGUUUUUAACUUUUAAGGGUUUGCUAAGCUAGGCAGUUAAAUUCUAACUCCUACUCUCACGGGUCUUUUCCUCUUCCAGUCUUUCAAGGUUUCAAAAUGUGCAUUGGUAUGUCAAAGGAUAUGUUAGUCCAACCAAUCGACUUUUGGUAUCAGUGCUCUGUAUUAUGCUAUGGAAAUGAAUGCUUUCAUCUGUGGCGCAAUAGGAUUGGAAGGUCCCAUUCCAUCAUCUGGUGAUACGGGGCCAUGAUCCUGGAAUCACACCAUUACACUCGAAAAUAUUCAAAUCUUUUAAGGGUUUCUUUUUACAAAAGAUUGUUACAAUCUCUUCUUUUGUGCAUUAUUAUGCUAGAUUGCUAAAAUGCUGAUCACAUACUGAGAUAACACGCACCGCAUUUUUCAUUCAUACAGGCUAUUUAUUCAAUUAAAGGUUUUUUGUUGUCAUUUGUAGUAAAACCAUUUAAAAUCUGUAUGUGAAGACAAUUUGCUAAAAUCUGCCAACGUGUGGUUGCCGGGCUUGGUGGUGAAUAAUGUGUAUGGUGGGGGGUGGGUGGCUCUGGGAGGGUUGUCCCUUCCCAGACCCAACCACCACCACAGGUAUAGUCGUCCCACAACUACCCAAGCCCUGCAAUCAUUCUUUGUGACCAUUAUGUGAAACCUUCAAAAUUAAAUUUGCAACUGUGACUUAAAACCAUGAGUGCAUUUUCCAUGCAGGCAAGUUCUGCACUGCCCUUUGCAAAAGUUUUGAAGGCACCGCCUUCAUACUAGUUCAGAUUCAACCAGAUGUCAACUGACAUUCGGUCACAAGCACUGUUUGACCAUGGAAAAUUGGCUUGGCCAAAUGUCAGCCAUGAGCUGCCGGCGCUCAGGUCACCCCUAACUAAAUGUUGGUCACUCUUGACUGGCAUCCAUAUAAAGGCCGGUGCCGUUUCUUACUAGAGAAGCUGCCUUGCCUUGCAAUUUCUUAACAUAAUUUGUGCUUCCAGUAGAUAAUUAAUAUAGUGCAGUGUACAUACUGUGCAUACUUUAUUUGUAGGUCACAGAAGUUAUGGCAAGUUAUAUCUUUUAUAACCUUUCCUUCUAUCUUUAUUACUCGGAUACAACACUUUCCCAGCAGAAAUUGUGAAGAAGCAGCCCAAAUCUGAACUUGUUCAUGAGGUUCAAACAGUUUUGCCUGUUCAAUAAGGCCCAAGUUUAAGAUUGUUUGUAUCUAUCCACGCUCUGCUGCAACUUAAUUCUGCUCUUUCUUCAUAAAAAAUACAACUUUAACUCUUCAAUUCUUUUGUAUCAUCAUAUUCGGAGAUUACAAGCUUUACUCAUUGAGCAAACAGAAAUUACAGAAUUUAGCCAGAAGUAUAGAAGGCUUCAAUUAGUUUUUAGAACAGUCUAGUUGUCUUUUAUGCUCACACUAAUCUUUGUUGUGCCAUCCAUGCUCUCAAUGCUGUAUUUUGGCUUUCCCUGUGCUGAUUUAAUGAAUCUAUCAGGACAAAAUUCUAUGUAGAAUUUGUUUCAAAGGACAAAUUAAUGUCGUCCUGCUUCCAAGCAGGCAUCGUGCCCUUUUCAGGUAUGGGGAUCCACCUUUCUCUUACCAAUAUUUGUUGAUACUUCAAACAGUACACUUCUCUGAAUGAAAAAUAAAAAGAAAUAAGAUUAUUGAUGAGAAAGCUUUUCAUUGAGGAUGAAGCUUUGCCUUCAAAAUUGUUAUUCAUGCCAUGCACAGGUAAAAGAACUCUGAAUUGCUUGUUUAAAAAAAAAGAACGAAAGACCUGUUUAUAUGUAUUUAUUCCUUUUGUUAAUAUCUUCUUGAAUUUGUGUUCAGCACAUGCUGCCAGAAGAGUAAAAGUUCCCCAAUCUGCCUCGUCACCAAUGAGGUGCAGUUGUCUGUAUAUGACGUGUAGUUCCAAUUGUAUCCAUGACAUGUGUAUAUGUGAAGGAAAGAUUCCUUGCUGCUUGUGGUUUUAGAUGAAGCACGCACUGAGAAGCUACAAUUUUGGCGUCCUCUAUUCACAUGUAACAGUAGUUGUCUCAUUUUCCAGGAACUGUAAAUAUUCUGACAGAUUUGAUGAACUAUGAAAGUAAAUUUUUUUAGAGCC